GUGGUCACUUCAGCAGCACGUAUACUAAAAUUGGAACGAUAUAGAGAAGAUAAGUAUGGCCCAUGUGCAAGGAUGACACACAAAUUCAUGAAGCAUCCCAUAUUUUA